rnacentral:tRNA from 1 species
GCGGGGAUACCCAAGUCUGGUCAAAGGGGCAGGACUUAAGAUCCUGUGCAUUAGUUGCUGCGCGAGUUCAAUAAUCCUUUCUUUUUCCUGAAAGAAAAAGAACUGAAGCUUAUGAAAGAAUUAAUCAAAAAACAUAACACGGUUUGAACAAAUCUCGUUCCCCGCA